AUAAGGAGGAAGUACCAAAUACUUAAUCAAAUGUAUAGGAUGUUAGAUGUUACUGGUUGAGCUCCAGGACUGGGACUGAUGGACCAGACCAAAGCUGAGUCACUCAAGGGCUGGGACCAGGGCUGGCCAGAAAAUAUGCCAAAUCUGGUAUCUCUCCCAAUGCUGUGACCUUUAACCCUGAGCAAAGUCUUGCUGAGUAGGCACGGUUGUCAGUGACAAACUAGAUUCAGAGGGACUGGGCUAGCCAAUGCCACCCAAAUAGAGAGUGUGGCCAGCGAACUCCAGUCUAGGUCCAAGUGGCCCCCUAGCACGAUCUGCCAGUUCGGGGUGGAGAGCUGCUAUGGGUGUACCGAUGAUCUCCUAUGCAGAGCCAUAUUAUUUCUUCUUUUCUGUCUUCUUAGAAGGCCUCGAAACCCUUUUAACAUCAAGAUUCUCCUGGCUGGAGUGGAAAAGUCUGUGCGCUUUCCAGUUUUCAGGCGCUUUUGCCUGAGUUUGGGUGACUUUCAAGAGCCAAAGUUAACUAAGGCUAAGAAUAGAUAACUCCUUGCUCUGACAGGCUAUGA
rnacentral:lncRNA from 1 species